AUUGAACGCUGGCGGCAGGCCUAACACAUGCAAGUCGAACGAGUGGCGGACGGGUGAGUAAUGUCUGGGAAACUGCCUGAUGGAGGGGGAUAACUACUGGAAACGGUAGCUCAUACCGCAUACCAUCGGAUGUGCCCAGAUGGGAUUAGCUAGUAGGUGGGGUAAAGGCUCACCUAGGCGAGUAUCCCUAGCUGGUCUGAGAGGAUGAUCAGACAAACUGGAAAGGAGACACGGUCCAGACUCCUACGGGAGGCAGUAGUGGGGAAUAGUGGAAAAUGGGCGCAAGCCUGAUGCAGCCAUGCCGCGGGUAUUAAGAAGGCCUUCGGGUUGUAAAGUACUUUUAGAGGGGAGGCGUUACCCGCAGAAGAAGCACCGGCUAACUCCGUGCCAGCAGCCGCGGUAAUAC
rnacentral:rRNA from 1 species